AUGUGGAAAGCAACAAGCUUGCAGUAAAAUGGCAAAAUAUUGGCAGUGGAUGUUAUAUGGCAAGUGUUUGCUGAUGGAAUCCAGAUCAACUGUAGGUGCAGAGCUACAGGGAGUGAGUUUUGGUGCUGAUCUUACACACGAGUCUAAUCUGGUACAAAAAGAUGCUCCCAGGUUCUAUCCACUACCUCCUGUCUCCUCACUCCUCAGCACCCUGCUGCCCCUAGAGGAUAAAGCAGAACAUAAAUCGUUUGAGUAGAUGGGAGGUGUUGUUGCUGCCCGGCAGACGAAAAAUCCUGUGCCAACCUUCCCUGCAGAGUCACUGAGAGGAAUGACCUGGCAUCAUCCUUCUGUAGAGAAAUUACAAAUCCCUUGGCUCAGCAUGUUUAUAACAUUUGCAAAUGUUUGUACACACACACACACACACACACAUAAAUGCGCAAACUCAUAUAACCCUGUGGCAGAACAGCUUGCUAUUAUUUACAUGCCAAUGUGUUCUUGAAUAUAUUUAUUUGGGGGUGUUAUAAUAAAAAACAAUCUUAUUGGA